AACGAACGCUGGCGGCGUGCUCAACACAUGCAAGUCGAACGCGAAAGGGACUUCGGUCCUGAGUAAAGUGGCGCACGGGUGAGUAACGCGUAGAUAACCUGUCUUCACGUCUGGAAUAAUACGCCGAAAGGGGUACUAAUACCGGAUAUUCUUGCUUUUCAUAAGUUUUGCAAGGAAAGGUGGCCUCUGAAUAUGCUACUGCGCGAAGAGGGGUCUGCGUACCAUUAGCUAGUAGGUGGGGUAAUGGCCUACCUAGGCUACGAUGGUUAGCGGGUCUGAGAGGAUGAUCCGCCACACUGGCACUGGAACACGGGCCAGACUCCUACGGGAGGCAGCAGUGAGGAAUAUUGCGCAAUGGGGGAAACCCUGACGCAGCGACGCCGCGUGAGUGAGGAAGGCCUUCGGGUCGUAAAGCUCUGUCAAAGGGAAAGAAGUGCAUGAUGGCUAAUACCUGUCAUGUUUGACGGUACCCUUAAAGGAAGCACCGGCUAACUCCGUGCCAGCAGCCGCGGUAAGAC
rnacentral:rRNA from 1 species